AAAAAACGUGGUAUCAGAAAAGGGCGAAUAGGGGAAGAAUCAACAUAGAUAUUGUCCCGGUUUUAUCCCGUCCUGGAGCUACAAGAAGGCUGGGUGAAGUCUACGAUGGGUUCUUUUCCAAGCAAAGAGAAGGCUGAGGCGACUCUGGUCUACAGCUACAAGAACGCCAUCAGCAGGUUCGGGACGAAGCUCACGCCCGCGCAAGUCGCCGUGUUGAGGAGUGAGUUCCCCUCUUGCUGUUAUGCUCUGCUCUCACAGUCAACUGAAUCCCUUUAGUUAGCAAUAAAACUACAGUUGCAAGAGUUUUUUUAAUUGCAUGAGGAACAGUAGAUGGUCAACUAAGGCAAAC
rnacentral:rRNA from 1 species